rnacentral:rRNA from 1 species
CCUACGGGUGGCAGCAGUGAGGAAUAUUGGUCAAUGGCCGCAGGGCUGAACCAGCCAAGUCGCGUGAGGGAUGACGGCCCUAUGGAUUGUAAACCUCUUUUGUCAGGGAGCAAAGGGCGCCACGUGUGGCGCUUUGCGAGGAACUGAAGAAAAAGCAUAGGGUAACUCCGUGCCAGCAGCCGCGGUAAUACGGCGGAUGCGAGCGUUAUCCGGCUUUAUUGGGGUUAAAGGGGGCGCAGGCGGAAUGUCAAGUCAGCGGGAAAAUUUCGGGGCUCAACCCCGUCGUGCCGUUGAAACUGGCGUUCUUGAGUGGGCGAGAAGUAUGCGGAAUGCGUGUUGUAGCGGU